rnacentral:rRNA from 1 species
UGUUUCGGCUAGGGGGUCAUCCCGACUUACCAACCCGAUGCAAACUACGAAUACCGAAGAAUGUUAUCACGGGAGACACACGGCGGGUGCUAACGUCCGUCGUGAAGAGGGAAACAACCCAGACCGCCAGCUAAGGUCCCAAAGUCAUGGUUAAGUGGGAAACGAUGUGGGAAGGCACAGACAGCCAGGAUGUUGGCUUAGAAGCAGCCAUCAUUUAAAGAAAGCGUAAUAGCUCACUGGUCGAGUCGGCCUGCGCGGAAGAUGUAACGGGGCUAAACCAUGCACCGAAGCUGCGGCAGCGACACUAUGUGUUGUUGGGUAGGGGAGCGUUCUGUAAGCCUGCGAAGGUGUGCUGUGAGGCAU